GGCUGGGUAGCUCAGCUGGUUAGAGCACGGCACUCAUAAUGCCGGGGUCGG
rnacentral:tRNA from 1 species